AAACUGUUAAAGACUCACUAGUUUCUUUCGGGGGAAAAUUAAUUUAUUAUUUUAUUUUGCACGUCUAGGUUUGCCAGUGCAGUGACAAUUUAAGAAGACACUUAUGUGUUUUGUUUGUCUUCUUCAGACAAUAAACGGUCAAAAAGGCAGUUCCUGAA